GCUGGGCACGGUGGUGCACACCUGUAGUCCCAGCUACUCGGGAGGCUGAGACAGGAGGAUCACUUGAGUCCAGGAAUUCUGGGCUGUAGUGCGCUAUGCCGAUUGGGUGUCCGCACUAAGUUCGGCAUCAAUGGUGACCUCCCGGGAGCGGGGGACCACCAGGUUGCCUAAGGAGGGGUGAACCGGCCCAGGUCGGAAACGGAGCAGGUCAAAACUCCCGUGCUGAUCAGUAGAUGUGUGCCCUUGAGGGGCAUUAAGACUCACACCCUUCCCCCCAACUCCCACUUCU
rnacentral:SRP_RNA from 1 species